CUUCGUUGGUGGCGUACCUCCCUUUCGCGGGCGGUGUAAUCACGCAUACCUGUCAUCCGACAAUGCAGAUUCUCCAGGCCCGCAGUAAUGCGGGCUUUUUUAU
rnacentral:sRNA from 1 species